CCAUAAACGACUUUCAAACCCUCUUUCUCUCACCGUCACCAAACUGGCUUUCCCAUUUUCUCUCGCCGUCACCUCCGUCCAAGCUCUUCAACCCAACUAUCCAAGCACUGUUUUCACUCGCCGUCACCUCCGUCCAAGCUCUUCAACCCAACUAUCCAAGCACUGUUUUCACUCGCCGUCACCAAACUCAUCGGCUAUGUCGCGUUUAUGCAUUCUGUUUACCGUCCCGUUUGACAAGUAGAAGAAGGAUCUCUCUAUCUCUUUCCUCUUUCCCUCGCAACAGUCACUCAUCGGCCAUGUCUCAGGAAGAUAUGCUCGUCCAGCUCCACAUGUUGCGCCACGCCCCGCCCCCGCUAACACUCAGAGUGGUGGUGGAUCUAUGCCUGGUGGUAUUGGGUCAACCAUAGCUCAAGGUAUGUAAAACAAAAACAAAGUUGUUUUUGCCAUAUAGACUCUGAUGGUGUUAAGUGGGUUGAUGGGAAUGUAUGAAGAAAAGUGGUUGGGUGAUACUCACACACAUUACUCAGCUGCAUACUCAAAUGAGCUCUAUCCUAUGUCACUAUAUUUCACUUCCUCACCAUAUUCCUUAUCUUGCUCUCUACUAUAUCCGCGUUGGUCACGACUGUCACGACGCACUCCGCAAGAAUAUUCUCUUCUUUCAAGUACAACGCUCUCCGAUGGUGUUGUGACCCCGGAAGGCAGACGGUGACACUUCCGGAGAUGGCUUGACCGACAGUUCCGACAUGGUGUUAUUCAGGCCGUUUAUCUUUAUUUUUCAGGUUUCACAAUUCUUCAACUACGAGCUUCAUCCACGGAGAAACACUUGAAAAAGGAAAUGCACUCGCAUCGAGAUUCACUUGCUUAUUGCUCAUGGCUUGCAGUCUAUCCUGGAUGUGCCAUUUUAUGGAAGAAUUGCUACGCUUGAACUUUUUCGCCCUCAUGGUGAAGCACAAGAUUUUUUGUUUAUUGCUACUGAAAGAUACAAAUUUUGUGUUCUUCAAUGGGAUACCAAGACUUCUGAGCUUGUUACACGCAAAUGUGAUUUUGGUGUUGUCUACCGAAGCUACAAAUGCUCUUAUUGUGGACUGCAUGUUGCUAUUUCAAGGGCGGGAAAAGACUUAUAAAUGGUUGGAUUUUGUAUGGUUGCACUUGUUUUGUUAUUGUUGUAGUAAUCCAUCAUGUGUAAACUUCUUUAAAAUUUUGUACACUUGUGUGUAUCCUAGAUUGAUCUUGUAAAUCAUUUGUUAA